AACGCUAGCUACAGGCUUAACACAUGCAAGUCGAGGGGCAGCACAAGGUAGCAAUACUGAGGUGGCGACCGGCGCACGGGUGCGUAACGCGUAUCCAACUUUCCCGUUACUCUGGGAUAGCCUUCCGAAAGGGAGAUUAAUACCGGAUGGUGUUUGAAUUCCGCAUGUUAUUCAAACUAAAGAUUUAUCGGUAACGGAUAGGGAUGCGUGACAUUAGGUAGAUGGCGGGGUAACGGCCCACCAUGCCUACGGUGUCUAGGGGUUCUGAGAGGAAGGUCCCCCACACUGGAACUGAGACACGGUCCAGACUCCUACGGGAGGCAGCAGUGAGGAAUAUUGGUCAAUGGUCGGAAGACUGAACCAGCCAAGUAGCGUGAAGGAUGAAGGUUCUAUGGAUUGUAAACUUCUUUUAUACGGGAAUAAAGCCCGCUACGUGUAGCGGUUUGUAUGUACCGUAUGAAUAAGCAUCGGCUAACUCCGUGCCAGCAGCCGCGGUAAUACGGAGGAUGCGAGCGUUAUCCGGAUUUAUUGGGUUUAAAGGGAGCGUAGACGGGAUGUUUAGUCAGUUGUGAAAGGCUGCGGCUCAACCGCAGCACUGCAGUUGAUACUGGCGUCCUUGAGUGCGGUUGAGGUGUGUGGAAUUCGUGGUGUAGCGGUGAAAUGCUUAGAUAUCACGAAGAACUCCGAUUG
rnacentral:rRNA from 1 species